rnacentral:rRNA from 1 species
CAGGCCUAACACAUGCAAGUCGAACGCCCCGCAAGGGGAGUGGCAGACGGGUGAGUAACACGUGGGAAUCUAUCCUUUGCUUCGGAACAACUCUGGGAAACUGGAGCUAAUACCGGAUGUGCCCUUAGGGGGAAAGAUUUAUCGGCAAGGGAUGAGCCCGCGUCGGAUUAGCUAGUUGGUGGGGUAAAGGCCUACCAAGGCGACGAUCCGUAGCUGGUCUGAGAGGAUGAUCAGCCACACUGGGACUGAGACACGGCCCAGACUCCUACGGGAGGCAGCAGUGGGGAAUAUUGGACAAUGGGGGCAACCCUGAUCCAGCCAUGCCGCGUGAGUGAUGAAGGCCCUAGGGUUGUAAAGCUCUUUCACCGGUGAAGAUAAUGACGGUAACCGGAGAAGAAGCCCCGGCUAACUUCGUGCCAGCAGCCGCGGUAAU